GGUCUGUAAAAAAAAGUAUGCAUUUUAUCCAGUAUUGCGACUGUGCUGGAAGAACAACUUAAAGUCAUAUCCUCAGUCCCCCGGCGCGGGAACGGAGCUUGCUAAGCAGCGUUUUGCCUGCGCGCUCUGACAGAAACACAGAGCUUCAGAUGGCUUCCUCUCGCUCCUAAAAACGUACUCGGCUGGUGGUCAAAGGUCAAAGUUGAGGGGCUUCAGGGGAAAGAGGGGGUGUGAUUGGUUCAGCAGGCGAUGGAAUGCUUUGCCAUUCAGGAGGCGAGGAAUUCAAAACAAGUUCAUUAAGUUUGAAUAGCGUCUUCUUUUUAAAGCCGACUUUGACCACCCCACCCAAAUAUCACAAAGGCCUUUCUACAAAACAUAUCCUUCAGUGUCCAAGAUCGGACUUCCUGCCCUGAAAGCCCUCUUCAUUUGAACAAAUCUGUAGCAGAAUGUUUGUCAAUGACGUGUUGGAACCAUACCGAUGGUACGAACUAAAUAUUUGUUUUUGCUAAAGUGCCUGUUGUGGGAUUGUUUCACAUCUACUGUACAGAGGUGGGGUGGGUAACAGGAAAUGGCACUGCGGCCAAAUCCAAAUUUAUAAUAGCCAUAUUGAGGAUAAAUAUUUAGAUACUUAGCGCCCCCUGCUGCUAGGGAGCAAAGAAUACUAUUUUGUAAUGAAAUACUAUCAUUUUUAAUUAUUUUUUUUUAAUUGAAAAAAAAAAAUACUAUGUGAAAUA